rnacentral:misc_RNA from 1 species
CAGAGUUCGUGCCCGUCCGGGUAGAUCUCCCACCCACUGUCAUCACUACAAUCGUUGCUUUGGCGGGCCGUCGGGUCCCGCCCGGCCGCCGGCCCCAGGCUGGCGCGUGCCCGCCAGAGGCCCCGUAGACGCUGAAUGUUAGUGUCGUCCGAGUACCACAUAAUAGUUA